rnacentral:ncRNA from 24 species
UUUAGUAAGGGCGGCAUUGAAGCGAUGACUUGUAAUGGUCGCUCAAACUGUCUACAAAACAGGGAAAGUCAUCGCCGAGCCAGUAGCGAAACCGGCCCAGCA